CAGGAGCCUUAUCCUAUCUGGGCUCCUCUCAGUGGGCUGCAGCUUCCUUCAGGGCAUAUCUGUCUACUCCAGUUUGGUCUUUUCCACAGGCUGAGGGAGAAGUCUUGGAUCUGGGGCCUGAUUCACCUCCUCCCCAUCCUUCUUCAUUGACCUUGGAGCCUGCAGAUUAUGUGUUCCACUGUGAGAGCUGCUUGGUAACAUGUAGGCAAGUAAGCUAUAAAGAUGUUCUCCAAACAGUUUCAUAGGUUUUGUGUACCAAAAAGGACAGUGAUGAACCUCCAAACCCAUUAAAAAAAUAAUUCUCUCAACUUGAAGUGAUUACUAUUUGGAGUGGACUAUCUGAAUCCACACUGAAGAAUGCUUGGUGCAGAUUUUUCAGCAGGAUAAUGUUUUGACCUUAUAGCCUCAUGACUUAACUCUGUGUAUGUAAUUUCCAUUUCAAGGCAUCUAAAAAAAUCAACUCAGAUCAAAAAUUGCAAAAAUAUUUUGUGAGAGGCUGAGAGGACAUGUUUUGUCCUUCUUGAAGUGUAGAAUGAAAGCAUGUAGGAUCAAAAAGUUUGCUCAGACAGUUGUUAGAGAAACGUUCCUACGUGUAACACCUAGCACAAUGCAUAUCCAUAAAUCAUGUAUCUGAACUGAAUUCCAAAGCAAAAUAUUCAUUCAGUCAGGAUCACUUUUAGAAGAAGACAGUGUGUCUUCAUCUUCUUCUGAACCAGCAUAUAUGCAACACUGACAACUCAGUGGUCCUAGAAUCUGGAGGAAACCGGUGAGAAAUUUCUUAGGACAGAAAAUGCCUAAGUACUUUUUCUCCUUAGCUAUAUUUGAGAUUAAACAGAUGAGUGCCCUAUCUAGACCACAGAAUGUGAGAUUAUACUUUACUUGUGAAGGAACACAGGUAGUUCCACACAAACAUGAGGAAAAAAAUUGUUACUUUGAGGGUUACAGAACACUAGAACAGGCUGCCCAGAGAGGUUGUGGAGUUUCCUCCUUUGGAGAUAUUUAAGACUCAUUUGGAUGCCUUUCUGUGUAACCUGCUCUAGGGAAUCUGCUUUACCUUUGGCUUGGACUCAGUCUCUAGAGGUUACUCCCAACCCUUACAGUUCUGUGAUUCUGUGAGCAGUAAAGCAGACGCAUAGGUUUGUUAGAUAAAUCAUACUAAUUAUGAUGUAUUUGCCACAUAUAGCAUAUUCUGUAUAUGCUAUAGUACAGACACGGGUAACUUAAAAUUUUAAUAAAUGGAUAGUGUUUUCCCUCAUUUUUCACAUGAUCAAACAUGAAAAUUUGAAUUCCAUAUGGUAAGACCUUGUUUGUUUGACUGGAGUCCCAGCUUAGCAGAUUUCACUUUUAUAUUUCCGAACUGAUUAUUUACUAUUGCAAAACACAGAAUAUCAUAUGCUUUUUAUUAUAACCCAAAUGUUAUUUCUUAUGUUUAAAAUUUUUGUACCGAUCCUGACAAAGAACCUAAUUUAUUCUAAACUUUUAACAAUAUACAACAUCCAAGUAAUAAAAUGUUUUUUCUGUUUUAUUCUUUCCACAUCUGCUUGUAAUUCUCAACACUACUGUUUUUGUCAGAUUAUGGUUUGUAUUCAAACCUUAUUGAGAUUCUAGCAAUAAAGUUUUCAUAUACUAGCAUAUCUGAAAUGGCUUUUUAAAGCAUGAUCAUUAAAUUCAAAUGAAAGACAUUGAUAAGGGAAAGAAUUAUACAUGUAAAGUUGGUUUUGUCAUACUGUGACAUCAGGUAUCUGAAGUACAUAAGCAAUUUCAGGAAUUAUUAUUGUGUGAAUGACUUUUUCUAUAAUUAAAAUUUGAGGGGGGAAUAUCAAGUAAUAUUGCUAAGAGUAGCUGGCACUUUUAAUUUUGCUGCUGUGCAUAGACAGCAAGAGAAGAGGGUGUAUGGCAGUUUUUUCAUGCCCUCUUGUACAAUGAUUCAUUCAUAAAGUUCAAAUCCAUUCAAAUGAUUAAGGAUCAUCCCCUCUGACCUAUGCAUGUCAAAAGCCAUUUCAGUCCACUAAACUAUCUCAUAUUGAGCUUAGUAAUUCAGGACUGCUGAAAGAUAGUGCAUCUUUCUCUUUAAAUGAGAAACUCUCACGCACUGAUUUCCUUGAGGUAAGAGAUCUAAUUGAAAUAAACCCAUUAUUUUCUUACUCUCCAUAAGGAAUUCACAAUUGUUUACAGAAGCCUGAAACGCUGUCAAAAAAUCUAAGCUCUCUGUUUAAGUACCCUGAAGCCUGAAAUUGAAGUUUAAGGGGAAAAUAACAUUCAUGUCAUCUAGAAGCAAUUGACCAUAAAUUCACUGAUUGAAUUCUUGGGGAGGGAGGGUUAUACCAUGUAAUUAUACCUAUUUCAUGUUAAAAAGCAACCAUGAAACAUACAGAAGAGUAUUUUUCUCUUGAAUCCAUUUGAACAAUUCUGUCCCAAUAAAUUCACAGUAUAGUUCUGUAAUAAGUAAUAUUGUGUUUGACUGUUUUUUUUUCUGAAAUAUUUUUUCUAUGAGCACUGAUAGAACCAAAACCUAGUAUUUCAACCCAUGCUAGUGCCUCUUGGGUCAGCAUUUAUAUCUAACCCAUCCAUCACGAGUUUCACAGUUCCUCCAAGUAUCCCAGAUACAGGUAUACCAGCCUAUGAUACUUGUUUAAUAAGCAGUAUGGCAACUUGAUUUUAGUAUCAAAUAAUAAAUGGUCAAGGGUCUGUAUUGUAUAUGAGCUUAAAAAUGUUGUUCGAUAUUUUAAAAAAUAGUUACAAUUAGUGUGACAAAAUUGAGAAAGGAGUCAUAGGUUUUUGAGAAAAUGUUCUAAGAUGCAAGCUGAAAUUGAUUUCAGUAAAGCUGUACAUUUCAGUAACAGGUUAUUGACUCAUGCACUGGUAAAAACUUUCAUCUUGCAAUAGUACGUGACACUAACAUGAGGGUGUAUAUUACUCCUUAUAAGUAGAUAUAUUCUGUUUAUGUUACUAAGUAUACUUGGAAGGUAUUUUUACAGCCAAAGAAAACGUUAACUCUAGAAUGUUCCUGAGAUUCCCUGAAAUAUUAUAUUUUACAUGUUCAUUUAAUGUCAUUCUUUUUUCCUUUCUCUCAUUUUUUCCAG
rnacentral:lncRNA from 1 species